rnacentral:rRNA from 1 species
UUCGCAAUGCCCGAAAGGGUGACGAUGCGACGCCGCGUGAGCGAAGAAGGCCCUAGGGUUGUAAAGCUCUGUCGAGGGUUAUGAAAUAUAGAUGGGUUAAUACCCCAUUUAUUCGACAAAAGCCCAAAAGGAAGCCACGGCUAACUCUGUGCCAGCAGCCGCGGUAAUACAGAGGUGGCGAGCGUUGUUCGGUAUUAUUGGGCGUAAAGAGCACGUAGGUGGUUUUGUAAGUCAGGUGUGAAAGCCUUCUGUUCAAAGGAAGAACGGCAUCUGAAACUGCAGAUCUUGAGUGUAGGAGGGGAGAGUGGAACUUCUGGUGGAGCGGUGAAAUGCGUAGAUAUCAGAAGGAACGUCGGCGGCGAAAGCGACUCUCUGGCCUAUUACUGACACUGAGGUGCGAAAGUUAGGGGAGCAAACGGGAUUAGAUACCCCGGUAGUCCUAACCGUAAACGAUGGGCACUAAGUAGAGGGGUUUU